rnacentral:lncRNA from 1 species
CCUCUUCUUCUUCUUCUUCUCUUCUUCUCCUCUUCUUCUCCACCAUCAUCAAUGCCCUAGAUCUAUUUUGCUGGAUUUUUUGAAUCUUUGAUCCCAGAUCUCUUCUUCUCCAUCAUCAUAAAUGAUAGAUCUCUUCUUUUUCAUGGAUCUCUCUUCUCUCUCUUUGUUCUUUUGAUCGAUCUUUGUCCUUGUCUUCGUUUCCAUCAUCAUAGUUUAUGCUCAGAUUCGCAAAUCAGAUAUCCAACAACAAUCUAGAUCUAGAUCUCUCCAAAAUCGGCUUUGUAAUGCAUGGGUAAGAAAAAACGGUUCACAAAUCAAGAAAAAACGGUUCACAGAAGUGUGACGGCGGAUAAUCGGCAACGAUGACGGUGAACAAAGCAAGAAGAGACGAAUUAGUGAGUGUGACGGCGCUAGGGUUUAGAAUUACAAUUGUUUUGCUUCAGUUUUACCUAACUAUUUGUACCAGUUGUACCUAACUAUUUGUACCAGUUGUACCUAACUAUUUGUACCAGUUGUACCUUGUUGUAUCCAUUUAUAUGUCAGUUAUACCAAUUGUUUCAAUUGUACAAUUAUCUUUCAGUAAUACCAUUUGUACCAGUUGUCCAAUUAUCUCUUAGUUAUACUAUUUGUAUCAGUUGUCCUAUAAUCUAUCUGUACCAGUUGUACUAUUAUCUCUUAGUUGUACCGAUCGUCUGUCAUUUCAU